rnacentral:lncRNA from 1 species
CUGGGACAAUGCACGCUCACCCCUUGAAGGCAAACUUGUGGCUUGGUGAUCCAGGGGUUGGAAAAGAGGCUGUUCACUGCCUUGGUCAAGAGGAGCUGGGAUGUGCUCGUCUUCACACCAGGAAGAAGCUACCUGCAAACUUAUGCUGGGGAAGAAAAAUCAAGUGGAGUUUUUUAAGGAGCAAACUGAGAUAAUAAGAGCAUCACUUAUUUAAAAAGAUUAUGCAGGUUUUUCCAGCAUAACCAGGAUGACACUUGCACUUGUUUGGCCCGAUACAUUCACCAUGUUUGCAUCGUGGUUGGCACACAGCUGUGAAAAGAAGAUGGCAUGCAUUAUUUCUAGGUCAACGAAACACCAAUCAUAUAGCAUUGAUGUCGUGCACUAGUUUAAUAAUAAAAGAAAAAAAACUAGAACUUACAACAAAGUAGCCAAAGUAUACAAAAUCAGUUUCCUAUAAACACUCUGUAAGCUACACACACACACAUGUGUUAUGUAUGUAUAUGUGUGUGUAUCAGUUGGGGCUGAAAAAAAUUUUAAAUUCAAGGACAAUACUCAAAUAGACAAAUAAAACUAGGUAAAACUAU